rnacentral:rRNA from 1 species
CGAGAAAGCCCGCAAGGGUGAGUACAGCGGCGCACGGGUGCGUAACACGUGGGUAAUCUGCCCUGGAGCCCGGAAUAACUCCCCGAAAGGGGUGCUAAUGCCGGAUGAGCCCACGGGGUCUUCGGACCCUGAGGGAAAAGGUGGCCUCUGCAUGCAAGCUAUCACUUCAGGAUGAGCCCGCGGCCCAUCAGCUAGUUGGCGGGGUAAUGGCCCACCAAGGCUACGACGGGUAGCUGGUCUGAGAGGACGAUCAGCCACACUGGAACUGAGACACGGUCCAGACUCCUACGGGAGGCAGCAGUGGGGAAUCUUGCGCAAUGGGCAAAAGCCUGACGCAGCAACGCCGCGUGUGUGAUGAAGGUCUUCGGAUCGUAAAGCACUGUCGCGAGGGACG